UAUUCUGUGGCUUAGUUGGUUAAAGCGCCGGACUAGCGUUACGAAGUCGUGGGUUUGAAUCCCACCGAACAAA
rnacentral:tRNA from 1 species